AGAAUCAACGCUGGCGGCGUGCCUAACACAUGCAAGUCGAACGAGAAAGUGGAGCAAUCCAUUAGUAAAGUGGCGCACGGGUGAGUAACACGUGACUAACCUACCUUUUAGUGGGGGAUAACCUAGGGAAACCUGGGCUAAUACCGCAUAAUACCUACGGGUCAAAGCAGCAAUGCGCUGAAAGAGGGGGUCGCGGUCGAUUAGUUAGUUGGCAGGGUAAUGGCCUACCAAGACUGUGAUCGAUAUCCGGCCUGAGAGGGCGCACGGACACACUGGAACUGAAACACGGUCCAGACUCCUACGGGAGGCAGCAGUGGGGAAUUUGCGCAAUGGGGGAAACCCUGACGCAGCAACGCCGCGUGGAGGAUGAAGUCCCUUGGGACGUAAACUCCUUUCGAUCGGGACGAUAAUGACGGUACCGGAAGAAGAAGCCCCGGCUAACUUCGUGCCAGCAGCCGC
rnacentral:rRNA from 1 species